rnacentral:rRNA from 1 species
AAUAGAUACCCAGGUAGUCCACGCCGUAAACGGUGGGCACUAGGUGUGGGCGACAUUCCACGUCGUCCGUGCCGCAGCUAACGCAUUAAGUGCCCCGCCUGAGGAGUACGGCCGCAAGGCUAAAACUCAAAGAAAUUGACGGGGGGCCCGCACAAGCGGCGGAGCAUGUGGCUUAAUUCGACGCAACGCGAAGAACCUUACCAAGGCUUGACAUACACCGGAAACGUCUGGAGACAGGCGCCCCCUUGUGGUCGGUGUACAGGUGGUGCAUGGCUGUCGUCAGCUCGUGUCGUGAGAUGUUGGGUUAAGUCCCGCAACGAGCGCAACCCUUGUCCCGUGUUGCCAGCAGGCCCUUGUGGUGCUGGGGACUCACGGGAGACCGCCGGGGUCAACUCGGAGGAAGGUGGGGACGACGUCAAGUCAUCAUGCCCCUUAUGUCUUGGGCUGCACACGUGCUACAAUGGCCGGUACAAUGAGCUGCGAUACCGCGAGGUGGAGCGAAUCUCAAAAAGCCGGUCUCAGUUCGGAUUGGGGU